rnacentral:lncRNA from 1 species
GGUAGUUGGGACCUAGACUGAAGCGUCCACUGACACUCACCUUUUGGUGGGUAUCAUGGCAUUCAGUAGCUGUACCUUCACCCAAGGUCACUCUGCUGGAAGUCAAUGAGUCUUUUUGCCUGUGUAUAUGUACAUGUAAUAUAAAUCACUAAGAUACAUGUCGUAAACAGUAUAUGUUUAUUUUGAUUAAUGUUGCCACUAUGAGUUGGUGAUAGAUGAGAUUAUUUUACAUAAUAUAAAUGUAAAUAGUUG